GCUCUCCUGAUGAAAUUGGUAGACAUACUGGUUUUAGGAACCAGCGCUUUACGGCAUGGGGGUUCGAGUCCCCCGGAGAGCA
rnacentral:tRNA from 1 species